AGGACACGUUCACGAACACGCCGAGCAUGAGCACGCUCACCCCCACGGCGUCGAAGGCCACGGCCAGCCAGAAGCUGCACCUGCAGCGGCCCAGCCCGCGCGACGUCCGCUCCAUGGCGCACAGUGAGCGGAGCAGCAGUUAAAAGGCUCCUGAAGUCCAUCCAUCCAUCUCCAGAACCUGCUGAAUCAACCAACCCAGCUACUGUCAGACCCUGAUCAGCUCAUCAGUCUGUUGCAGGAACACCUAGAGGCAAUUCAGAGUUACAAUUACCCUCAUUCCCCAUGCGUGGAGGAAGCUGGAGGGUCCAAAGAAAACCCACAGAUGCACCAGCAGAACAUGCAGACUCCACACAGAAAGAUGUUUGAGGGUCUUCUUCCUGUGAGUCAAGAGUGCAUCUGUGCAGCCAGAGCCCAGACCGCUCACUAAAUUUCAGAAUAAAAGACUGUUACCACACUGCUGGGGGUACAGAGAGCAGAGACCAGGGAGCUGCUGGAACGGAUCGAACGGGCUGAACUGCUCUGAACUCCUGAACACACGAGGUAAACAUGAGGCCUCCACUCUGCAGCCUCUGCGCCGCUGAUGGACACCAGCAUCCUCAUGGGGGGUGAAAGAUGGGGUUCAGGCAGCGGUCAGGGUUCUUUACCACCAUCCCCAGAGAGAAAGCAGAGCGCAGAAGAAGAUGCAUGGAAAGAACGUCCAAGGCAAGGCAAGUUUAU